AGAGGUCCCGAGCGUUGUUCGGAUUUAUUGGGCGUAAAGGGUGCGUAGGCGGCGGAGUAAGUUGGGUGUGAAAUCCCGGGGCUUAACCUCGGAAUUGCAUUCAAUACUGCUUCGCUCGAGUACUGGAGAGGAGGCUGGAAUUUACGGUGUAGCAGUGAAAUGCGUAGAUAUCGUAAGGAAGGCCGGUGGCGAAAGCGAGCCUCUGGACAGUUACUGACGCUGAUGCACGAAGGCCAGGGGAGCAAACGGGAUUAGAUACCCCGGUAGUCCUGGCAGUAAACGGUGCGCGUUUGGUGUGGGGGGAUUCGACAAUCUCCGCGCCGGAGCUAACGCGUUAAACGCGCCGCCUGGGAAAUACGGUCGCAAGAUUA
rnacentral:rRNA from 1 species